rnacentral:ncRNA from 1 species
GGUCUUCAGGGUGUGGUGAAAUUCCCAAUCGGCGGUAUAGUCCGCGAGCCUUUUGCAUAUUCCGUGCAGGGCAGGAACCGGUGUGACUCCGGUACCGACAGUUAAAGUCUGGAUGGAAGAGGAUU